rfam:Oryza sativa Japonica Group DNA, chromosome 8, cultivar: Nipponbare, complete sequence.
AAAAAGUCAAACCCUAUGUUUUCGUGUCCAACUUUGACUGUCCGUCUUAUAUGAAAUUUUUUUAUAAUUCGUAUUUUCAUUGUUGUUAGAUGAUAAAACAUGAUUAAUAUUUUAUGCGUGACUUGUCUUUUUAAUAUUUUUCAUAAUUUUCAAAUAAGACGAACGGUCAAACGUUGAGCACGGAAACCAGGGUUUGUCUUUUU